rnacentral:misc_RNA from 1 species
GGAAGUAGAAGUCGUAACAAGGUCUCCGUAGGUGAACCUGCGGAGGGAUCAUUACAGAGUUCAUGCCCUACCGGGUCGAUCUCCCACCCUAUGUUAUUAUUACUUUGUUGCUUUGGCGGGCCGUUAGGCUCCGGCCCGACUACCGGCCCCGGCUGGUAAGCGCCCGCCAGAGGACCCAAAACCCUGAAUAUUAGUGUCGUCUGAGUACUAUAUAAUAGUUAAAACUUUCAACAACGGAUCUCUUGGUUCUG